GAUGAACGCUAGCGGGAGGCCUAAUACAUGCAAGUCGAGCGGUAGAGUGACUUCGGUUGCUUGAGAGCGGCGAACGGGUGAGUAACGCGUACACAAUCUACCUUUAAGAGGGGAAUAGCCCUGGGAAACUGGGAUUAAUGCCCCAUGGCAUCACGAGACGGCAUCGUUUUGUGAUUAAAGCUGAGGUGCUUAGAGAUGAGUGUGCGUCUGAUUAGCUAGUUGGUGCGGUAACGGCGCACCAAGGCGACGAUCAGUAGGGGGCGUGAGAGCGUGGACCCCCACACGGGUACUGAGACACGGACCCGACUCCUACGGGAGGCAGCAGUAAGGAAUAUUGGUCAAUGGAGGAAACUCUGAACCAGCCAUCCCGCGUGCAGGAAGAAUGCCCUAUGGGUUGUAAACUGCUUUUAUCUGGGAAGAAAAGUCGGGAUUUAUCCUGAUCUGACGGUACCAGAGGAAUAAGCACCGGCUAACUCCGUGCCAGCAGCCGCGGUAG
rnacentral:rRNA from 1 species